rnacentral:rRNA from 1 species
UAGGUCGACCCGCUGAACUUAAGCAUAUCAAUAAGCGGAGGAAGAGAAACCAACCAGGAUUCCCUCAGUAACGGCGAGCGAAGUGGGAAGAGCUCAGGCUGCCAAUCUCCGGCCGUGAGGUCGGCGAAUUGUGGUCUGGAGACGCCAACUGUCCUUGCUCGCUUCCCUGGCCCGAAGUUGACCUGGAACGGCGCGUCAGAGAGGGUGACAGUCCCGUAGGGCCGUCAGUGGGAAGCGGGUGGACGUCAUUUGGCGCUCGGCGAGUCGGGUUGUUUGGGAAUGCAGCCCAAAGUGGGUGGUAAACUCCAUCCAAAGCUAAACAGCGGCACGAGACCGAUAGCGAACAAGUACC